rnacentral:lncRNA from 1 species
UCACUAGUUAAUUCUCAAGUUUUCCUUGUGUUAUUGGAUUGGAUGACAUCAUUCGACAACCCAAAGCAUUCCUUGUUGGAAGUAUGCCCACAAAGCCACUCAUUUGAUGUAAUAGCUUUUUGGAAUACUUAAUGUAUUAAACUUUUAUAUGUUUAAUGAAGGGCAAAGCUUAUUGUUAAUCACUAUUUAUUGUAUCAUGUGUUUAAGCAAUAAGGGAAUCCUAGGGAUGUAUUUGAUCUAAGAGACAUGUGAUCUAAGUGAGUUAGAUUAUCG